UGGCCAUAUUACACUGAAACACUGGUUCUCAUUUGAUCACUGAAGUUAAGCAAUAUUGAGCCUGAUCAGUACCUAGAUGGGUGACAACUUGGGAAUACCAGGUGCU